CGGUGGAGCAUGUGGUUCAAUUCGACGCAACGCGAAGAACCUUACCUGGGCUCGAAGCGCAGUGGACAAGGGAUAGAAAUACCUUCCCGCGGGAGGUGUGACGAGCGCAACCCUUAUCGUUAGUUGCCAGCGGGAUGUCAAGUCUCAUGGCCUUUAUGUCCAGGCUACAUACAUGGUCGGUACAACCGUCGCAAACCUGCGAAGGGGAGCUUCGGAAAAAGCCGGCCUCAGUUCGGAUUGGAGUGCAACUCGACUCCAUGAAGCUGGAAUCGCUAGUAAUCGGGAUCAGCACGCCGCGGUGAAUACGUUCCCGGGCCUUGUACACACCGCCGUCACAUCACGAAAGUGGGCCGUACUAGAAGUCGGUGUGCUAACUCGCAAGAGAGGCAGCCGCCCAAGUACAGCUCAUGAUUGGGGUGAAGUCGUACAAGGU
rnacentral:rRNA from 1 species